rnacentral:rRNA from 1 species
AGAAUGAACGCUGGCGGCGCGCCUAAUACAUGCAAGUCGAGCGAGAAGACGUAGCAAUACGUUUGUAAAGCGGCGAACGGGUGAGGAAUACAUGGGUAACCUACCCUCGAGUGGGGGAAUAACUAGCCGAAAGGUUAGCUAAUACCGCGUACGCUCCUUGGACUUCGGUUCAGGGAGGAAAGCGAUACCGUGGGUAUCGCGCUCUUGGUUGGGCUCAUGUCCUAUCAGCUUGUUGGUGAGGUAACGGCUCACCAAGGCUUCGACGGGUAGCUGGUCUGAGAGGACGAUCAGCCACACUGGCACUGCGACACGGGCCAGACUCCUACGGGAGCAGCAGUAAGGAAUAUGCGCAAUGGGCGAAAGCCUGACGCAGCGACGCGCGUGGGGAUGAAGGUCUCGGAUUGUAAACCCCUUUGGAGGAAGAGUGGAACGAGCAAUCGUUCGACGGUACCUCCAGAAGCAGCCACGGCUAACCUCGCGCCAGCAGCCGCGGUAAUCGUGA